AACGAACGCUGGCGGCAUGCCUAACACAUGCAAGUCGAACGAGACCUUCGGGUCUAGUGGCGCACGGGUGCGUAACGCGUGGGAACCUGCCUUUAGGUUCGGAAUAACUCAGAGAAAUUUGAGCUAAUACCGGAUGAUGUCUUCGGACCAAAGAUUUAUCGCCUUUGGUUGGGCCCGCGUUGGAUUAGCUAGUUGGUGGGGUAAAGGCCUACCAAGGCGACGAUCCAUAGCUGGUCUGAGAGGAUGAUCAGCCACACUGAGACUGAGACACGGCCCAGACUCCUACGGGAGGCAGCAGUGGGGAAUAGUGGACAAUGGGCGAAAGCAUGAUCCAGCAAUGCCGCGUGAGUGAUGAAGGCCUUAGGGUUGUAAAGCUCUUUUACCCGAGAUGAUAAUGACAGUAUCGGGAGAAUAAGCUCCGGCUAACUCCGUG
rnacentral:rRNA from 1 species